AUUGAACGCUGGCGGCAUGCUUUACACAUGCAAGUCGAACGGCAGCGCGGGCUUCGGCCUGGCGGCGAGUGGCGAACGGGUGAGUAAUACAUCGGAACGUGCCCAGCAGGGGGGGAUAGCUCGGCGAAAGCCGGAUUAAUACCGCAUACGACCUGAGGGUGAAAGCGGGGGAUCUUCGGACCUCGCGCUAUUGGAGCGGCCGAUGGCAGAUUAGCUAGUUGGUGGGGUAAAGGCCUACCAAGGCGACGAUCUGUAGCUGGUCUGAGAGGACGACCAGCCACACUGGGACUGAGACACGGCCCAGACUCCUACGGGAGGCAGCAGUGGGGAAUUUUGGGCAAUGGGCGAAAGCCUGAUCCAGCAAUGCCGCGUGUGUGAUGAAGGCCUUCGGGUUGUAAAGCACUUUUGGCGGGAACGAAAAGGACUGUGCCAAUACCACGGUUCGAUGACGGUACCCGCAGAAUAAGCACCGGCUAACUACGUG
rnacentral:rRNA from 1 species